GAACAGAUUGCCAGUGAAGUGAAAGGGAGACAAGCGUGGAAAAUCACACAAGUCAGGAUCAAUAUAAGAACAGCUGACCUCUAUUUUACUUUACUUUGCUUUUGAACACGUUUGAGCUUCUGGCAGUGGCAGAUAACUGAGACAUCAAUCUGAGCAUGUCAUCGUAAAACCUAAUGAUCUGAAUAAACAUGGAGGCUGCACAUCAGAGCGAGAGGGAGAGUCUUCACGGAGAGGGCUGGAAGUCCAGGGCGGAGUUGGAAUGAUAAUAGCAGGAAAGAUAAUUAUUAUUUAACAACUCAAGAUUCAACUUCUGACCUCAACUGGGGACAAUCUCUGGAAAAGCAACGGGUUAGAUUUCAGUCCGUUAACUUAAGAAAACUCAGCAAAUUUCACCAGUCCGUCAUGGUCUGUGAUUUGAAUCCAAACAUAUUUAAACUACAAUCCAACAUAUUAGAUAUGCACACGUAACUUUGCACACUUAGUCAUUUGUGUGUAAUCGUCAACAAAUCACGCUGCGUUGUGGUACAAAGAGAGAACAAACUUGUAUUGAUGUUCACAACUUAACAGCUGUUUAUGCAACGUCCUUUGCAAUGGACAGCAGGAUAGAAUUUGGGGAACUGAACCAAAUAAAAUGCACUUUGUUGUAAGUUUGUAUAAGAUAUUUUGACAUAUGUACAUCUUAUUGAGCUGUAUUCAUUAUGCAUUGGUUUUACAACUCCUGGAGUCUCUAUCUUAAAGCUUUAUUAACAAUAUGGCUCUAUGUUGACAUUAUUAUUCUGACAUUGUUAUUAGCAUUGGUAGUAAUAGAAGUGGUACAACGUGUUAUUUUGUGGAGUUUCCUUGAAACAAAUCAACAACACCUGGGAAAGACGCACUUAAAAAUAGAGAGGGGAAACAGGACAGUGGUGGUGGAGGUCGGUAAUUAAGUAAACUAGAGCAGGACUCCCGGAUUCCAGUAAAUGUUUUUUACCAUGAACACCAUUUCCCCUUUGAUGCUGUGACUAAAGGCUCAAUCAUUCAACCACUUCCAUCACCGUCCGGCCUUCGCUGUCUGUGUGUCGUUUGGAUUUAAUGUCAUGUUUGUUUUUAAAAACCUGAAGCUAUGGCUGUUUACUAGAAGCGGAUAAUUGAAUGUGUUACGAAUAUCAAACACAGCAAUCAUGUGGUUUAGAUCGCCGCUAAAACUAGAAUGUCCGCGUGUAAAGCUGAGCGAGGUUGAGUUAUCUGGAUGGUUUGCUUGCUCGCGUUGGGAAGUCACAGAUCAGAAUAGAUGGGAUUACUGUAAACGCCAUAAAAACACCAUCUAGAUCAUUACUGCGGGCAAGACGGAUUAUCUUUUCAAAGGGCAAAUCUUCUUUCUGUUAGUGAAUGACUCUUGUUGCGAUGCUGUUAAAAUAACUUUGUAAAUCCAGGAUGAGGAUUUAAUAGACCUUAACACCAAUGACUCCACACAGAAAAUUGAAAGAAAGACAGUGUUUACUGAGAUUACGCAGAUCAACGUGUGUCUAGAGCCCUCAAUCCAAUCCAUGCAAGGUAGCUUUUAUGUUUCACAGUGUUUCUUUGAAGUAAUAAUGUACUUUGUCAGUGCGCUUUUCCAAAUCCUCUGAUGUUUAAAAUGUGUAUGCAGGCAGAACAGGAAGACAGAUUUCUGCAGGUGAGGACAAACACAGCACUCUGAUGUCUGUCUGUACGUUAAAGGGCAGACAGAAACAAUAACCUGCUAUGCCCAAAGGGAAGAACAGUCUCCAAGCGCCUCUCGCGCUGACUGAUUAACAAGUUAUAUCUUGUUUGUUUAUUGCAAAACGGCUCUACGUAACCAUCUCUGCUCUCAGGCUGAACACCAAGCUAAACUAAGCGACUUUGCAUGUUUGAGCUGGCUACGGCUCCUGCACAAUCAUCAAUAACUUGAGAAUAGCAAUAAGUAUAAUAUCAAAUAACAAACACAAGGGCACUAAGGGAACGCAGACCUCCACUCGGGCCAAACGCCACAUAGUCGUUCUGUUGCAUGUACGUACAGUGAGACACUUGCACACACAAACACAAGCCUACAGAACAGAAUAUUCUAGCGCCCGGUCUUUUCUAUCAGAGUUUAAUGGGUCGUGAAGAAAGUCGACCAUGGUCAGAAUGAAUGACCAUCUGCUAUAAGACUGAGUCAUGUGAACUGAAGCUUUUUACUGGCAGGCUCCCACUGCUGGGCACAUCUGUCCAGGAGUCUGCUUACUGACAGUUGUGUCUUCUUUGAUCCAUUUUCAGCAUUAUAGGAAUACAUCAGGAAUGUGUAAAAAAAAGUGUUCAUGCAGACAUACAAAAACCGCAGACCAUAACAAUCUGCAAGCACUUCUGCAUACGCACAUACUUGCACUCUUUGUUUAUUGGCAUUUGUGGGUUUUUUUCCAAAUGUUUGGGGCGUAAAUAUCACAUCCCAUAGUUUGGAUCUUCUGAAGAGACAGACGGAGUUGCAUGUGCCACCUGACAGGAUCAAAUACAUCCACCUCCCACUUUUUAUAAAAUGAAACAUAUGUGGUCAUUUCCAUAUUGUCAAAUCCUUUUGAAGAUCUCUCUAAAGAGGCGGAAUCAGAUGUUUGCUCGGGAACCCUCUGUGGAACCGACCACUGUUUGAUCUGCACAAACACUUUAAAGUGGAAAUGUACAGAUGUGCCGUAGCAUCAUUAUUGACAGGGGUAACUGUCCUUAACAGGCUUCAAACAGACUCCCUUUCCACAGAAUAAUAGGAAUAAUAUAUUCAAAUAAAUUAAACGUUGGAGUUUGUUGGUUGUGGAUCCCUCACCUGGUUUCCUUCUCUAAAAUAGUAUUUGGUGUGUUUUCAAUUACCUGUUACACAGCAUGUAAAGGGUUACACAACAACUGAAUUCACUCCAAAAUUGUAUUCAUAAAUUGAUUCAUUAUUAAACAUCAGGAGCAAGAACUGUUUGAAAAAAACAAAAAAAGGUUUGUUUUGUGCACAAUAUGUUGUCUAAGCUUGAAUCAAACGUGUGCUUCAAAAUGAAAAAACUAUGAUACAAACGAACAUGAUAAAAUAACACAUUUAAGGGUAUUGCAAAUUCUAGUUACAUGAAAAGAAUAAACUUGUUCCAACUCAAAUGAUGAGGUCAGUUUUUUACUCAUCACCCCCCCUCCCCCCUCCCCACAGCAACGUGUCACAUCGUUUUAUUCUUAAAAAAAAAACUUUGCUCGUAAACCUCAGACUUCAUCCUAAAUUUAGUGUGAGCGAAGAGCUGAAAUAAUGUUUCACUUAACAGUGGUUAACAGGUCCUGUGUCGAUUGGAGAAUAGUCUCUAUGGGGUUUGUGGUGUGUGUGUGUAUGCGUGUGUAUGCGUGUGUAUGCGUGCGUAUGCGUGUGGCUGCACACAGAUGUCCCUUUAUAAACGUCACCUUCUCCACCUUUUCAGACAUUAAAGAGGAAGCAGCUGCAGGUUCUCUUUACACCUUUGUACGGAUGCACAACAAAGAUGAGCAGAUGCAGACACACACACACACACACACACACACACACACACACACACACACACACACACACACACACACACACACAUACACACACACACACACACACACACACAAACAAACACACAGUCAUCAUAUCAUUUUGACCUUUUGUUGUGAUCUUGCAGCAUCUUGGACACAAAUCAGUAGGCUGUGAAGGAAUUUGUAGUAACAAAAACAAACGUUUUUCAAAUGCACAGUUCACAAAUGAACUGUGCAUUUGAGAGAAAAGAGAAAAGUUCUUUAAGGUUAUCUGCUGACAUCUCAAUCAACGAAUGUACAUGUAUUGUGCACUUUGUGAGUAUGUGUUUAUUACCCAGUUUGAGAAUGAAAGAAAUAAUAGAAAAAAACUCACAUCUAAAGCUCUUUAGCUCACUGUAUCUACCUGCCCUCCGUCCUCUCUUCGCCUUUAUCUCCCUCCUUCAAUGUUACACAUUUCAACCAAGCACGCAGAUGUUACAGCCCUAAAGUUGAUAUAAACCAGAGAAUAAACUGGUAAAUGAAUGCGUGUGUCCGCUAGGGGGAGCGUGAGCAUGGUCCCGUUAAAUUCAUGGGUCCUGAUUACACAAGUGGACUUCUUGGAAGAUCUGGCCCAAAUGGAUAUUUUAAGACACCUUAAAUGUAGCCAAAAUGCAUCUGCAUCGUGAUUCACUGUCGAGAACGAGCCCGUUUAAAGGCUACAACAGUUCUACUGUUCUGGCUCCGACAGGGUCCCACAUCUGAGGCUUCUCAUCGCGGUGAGUCGAUGAGGUCUGUUUAUCUCGUUCAUCUUCACGAGAAGAUGGAGCUCUGUGCUCUCCGCGUCCGUGAUGGGAUGAAUCGCACCAGCGAAGCGCCGUUUCACAUGCAAAUGCCUCCGGUUUGUCAGGCAUUAAGUACCAGGGCGCGAUAAUCUAUCCACGGGAUCUCCACUGGCACCCUCGAUGGCCCGCGGGCCUCCUGUGGGUCGUGACAGCAGGAGAGCGCAGGGCCUUCAGGGGUAAAGGAUAUGAUUUUCCAGGCUAUUCAUGAAAAUAACCUUUACAUGUAAGUCUUAAUGGUCACACCAUGUUUAUUGACAUGAACGAGGUGGAUGGAGUUUUGCUCUGUGUGUGUGUGUGUGUGUGUGUGUGUGUGUGUGUGUGUGUGUGUGUGUGUGUGUGUGUGUGUGUGUGUGUGUGUGUGUGCGUGUGUGUGUGUGUGACAGACAGACAGAGCGUGUGUUUGGGAGAAGUUUGGCUUUUAAAGUCCACACCACCAGGCUCAUCUUCAUCAGCCGCACUGGCCUGGACUUUAUUUCUUGUAUUUUCACUCUUUACCUUCACAGCUCCCGGUGCAAUGACACCGCCGUUUCACUCCGACCCGAAACCUUCCAGCUUUUGAAUUAAAACUCGCGCAAACAUCUUUUGUUUGUUUGUUUUUUUGUUUGUUGUUGCAAAACAUUGCGCUAAAAAAACUCCGGAGUGCGCAGAGUGCGCAGAGUGCGCCAGUGAGAAGGUAAUGCGACCCCCUGCGUAAACUCCGGUGACCACCUCUCUCUCUCUCUCUCUCUCUCUCUCUCUCUCUCUCUCUCUCUCUCUCUCUCUCUCUCUCUCU
ensembl:lncRNA